rnacentral:rRNA from 1 species
AAUUUUCGGCAAUGGAGGAAACUCUGACCGAGCAAUGCCACGUGAAUGAUGAAGGUCUUCGGAUCGUAAAGUUCUUUUAUCAGGAAAGAACAGUACUAAUAGGAAAUGAUUAGUAUUUGACGGUACCUGAUUAGAAAGCCCCGGCCAACUAUGUGCCAGCAGCCGCGGUAAUACAUAGGGGGCGAGCGUUAUCCGGAAUUAUUGGGCGUAAAGCGUGCGUAGGCGGUUUAUUAAGUCUGAUGUGAAAUCCUAUGGCUUAACUAUAGGCGGUGAUUGGAUACUGGUAAACUUGAGUACGGUAGAGGUAAGUGGAAUUCCAAGUGGAGCGGUGGAAGGCGUAGAUAUUUGGAGGAACACCAGUGGCGAAGGCGGCUUACUGGGCCGUUACUGACGCUGAUGCACGAAAGCGUGGGGAGCAAACAGG